rnacentral:rRNA from 1 species
AACCCUACGGGACGCAGCAGUGGGGAAUAUUGCACAAUGGGGGAAACCCUGAUGCAGCGACGCCGCGUGAGCGAUGAAGUAUUUCGGUAUGUAAAGCUCUAUCAGCAGGGAAGAAAAUGACGGUACCUGACUAAGAAGCCCCGGCUAACUACGUGCCAGCAGCCGCGGUAAUACGUAGGGGGCAAGCGUUAUCCGGAUUUACUGGGUGUAAAGGGAGCGUAGGCGGAAAGGCAAGUCAGAAGUGAAAACCCAAGGCUCAACCAUGGGACUGCUUUUGAAACUGUCAAACUAGAUUACAGGAGAGG